AGUAAUAAACAAAGGCCAAAGAGGUUAUUGAUGUUCUGUGUGUGGGUAUCUUCUGCUGAGAAAAGUUAAAGUUUGCCAAGGCACCCAAGUGUCUGGCCAUCCAUGUUCUGCUCCGUGGUGGUGACUGCAGGGGCACACUCCAGAAGCAGAUGGUCUCAGCACCAAACUUUCCUUUUCUCAGUGACAGGGAAAUGCAGUUCAUCUCCCAGGGGAUCCCACGUUAGAUGUGGCUGAUAGAAACACGCAGUCUGUUCCCGUGGCUGUUCUCUGUGCUGGUUUGGUUAUCUCUGUCUCUGCUGUCUCUAUCCUGUGUGCUCAGUCUCCAGCUCAGCCCAGCAGCUGAGUUUGGCUGUUAUUAAGCGCCUUUAGUUAACAUUCUGCUUUUCCAGGGUUAAUCUUCACACAUCACUUUGGUUUUUUGAGUCAAUAUUUGGCAAAGGACUGCAUUGCAAUGGCCUUCAAAGUGUGCACUCAGAGAGGUUUAGGUGAAGCAGAUAUAUCUCAUACAUUUGCACAUGUGUAUGCUACAGAGAAAACACUUCCCAGGUAAAGAUUUAUAGGUAAUACAAAACCUUUUGAUGCUGUUGAGUGGUUCAGUUUUAACCUGUGACAUUUACAGUAUUAAAAAAUAAUUGAAGGCAUUUUUGCUUUUCACUUUGUAUGAACUCUGCAUUGAAAAUGUAUUUAAUAAGUGCCAAGAUUGGUCCUGCUGCAACAUCUUCAUACGCUGGUCUUUGAUUGAGAGACAGUGAUGCCUAGAGCAGGAUCCAAAGCUCGCUGAGGCCUGGGACAAUCUCCCAUGGAUGCUGGUGGGCUUUGGUUGAGCUGAGGAGAGGAGGGUGGUCAGGAGCCUGCCACAGCUCAACAAACAGCACUGAAAUUCAGGUUCUGCAGGUCCCUGCAUAUUAUUGAUAAUGGGAGGAUGUUUUGGAUUGUUCACUGGAAAACUGGCAAGCAUUUGGGUUGAUACACAAUAGCCUAUAAAUAACCACAAGUCAUAUUUUGUUAAUAUGGCAACACCAUUGAUGUACAUAAGAAGCUUCCAAAGAUUGUUUUACACACUGUUGAGUGUUUUUCACUGAUGAAUUACUAUAGCUAGUUCAUUUAAAACAACAAAGAGGGAUCAUUGUGAAAUCAAAUUGAGAGCAAACAGAAAGGGGGGUUCAGAGAUUUGCUGUCUGAUAUAUUCAUGCCCAAAGCUGGUGUGGGGACAAGAAUUCUCCAAGUGUGCUUUGAUGGAAGGAUUUGUUAUUCCUCAGUGCUUGCCGAAAGAACACUGAAUGUUUCCCCGUGUCUGAAUGUACAGUUUCUACGCUGGAUACGUUUUAAUGUUGAAGAACUUUGUGUAUCUCAAGCUUGUUGUAAAAUACUCCUUUUGUUCCCAGGUUACCGACGCGACACUGGAUAGUUUAAUUCCACACUGGAUAUUUUAUGUUAAACAAAUAAAUAGUUUU
rnacentral:lncRNA from 1 species